rnacentral:rRNA from 1 species
AGCUCACUAGUCGAGUGACACUGCGCCGAAAAUGUACCGGGGCUAAACAUAUUACCGAAGCUGUGGAUUGUCCUUUGGACAAUGGUAGGAGAGCGUUCUAAGGGCGUUGAAGCAUGAUCGUAAGGACAUGUGGAGCGCUUAGAAGUGAGAAUGCCGGUGUGAGUAGCGAAAGACGGGUGAGAAUCCCGUCCACCGAUUGACUAAGGUUUCCAGAGGAAGGCUCGUCCGCUCUGGGUUAGUCGGGUCCUAAGCUGAGGCCGACAGGCGUAGGCGAUGGAUAACAGGUUGAUAUUCCUGUACCACCUAUA